rnacentral:rRNA from 1 species
GAUCAUGGCUCAGGAUGAACGCUAGCUACAGGCUUAACACAUGCAAGUCGAGGGGCAGCAUGAUUGAAGCUUGCUUCAAUUGAUGGCGACCGGCGCACGGGUGAGUAACGCGUAUCCAACCUGCCCAUCACUUGGGGAUAACCUUGCGAAAGUAAGACUAAUGCCCAAUGAUAUCCCACGAAGGCAUCCGAAUGGGAUUAAAGAUUUAUCGGUGAUGGAUGGGGA